CCUACGGGUGGCAGCAGUGAGGAAUAUUGGUCAAUGGAAGCAAUUCUGAACCAGCCAAGCAGCGUGCAGGAUGACGGCCCUAUGAGUUGUAAACUGCUUUUAUACGGGGGUAAAAUGCGUCACGUGUGGCUUUUUGCAGGUACCGUAUGAAUAAGGAUCGGCUAACUCCGUGCCAGCAGCCGCGGUAAUACGGAGGAUCCGAGCGUUAUCCGGAUUUAUUGGGUUUAAAGGGAGCGUAGGUGGUUUUAUAAGUGAGUGGUGAAAUGCCGCGGCUCAACCGCGGCACUGCCGCUAAUACUGGAGGACUAGAGAGCGGAUGAGGUAGGCGGAAUGUGUGGUGUAGCGGUGAAAUGCUUAGAGAUCAUACAGAACACCGAUUGCGAAGGCAGCUUACCAAAGUGUAACUGACGUUGAGGCACGAAAGCGUGGGUAGCAAACAGGAUUAGAUACCCCUGUAGUC
rnacentral:rRNA from 1 species